ensembl:lncRNA
GUAUUGAUCGGUCCCCUAACAGUAAGUAUUGAUCGGUCCCCUAACAGUAAGUAUUGAUCGGUCCCCUAACAGUAAGUAUUGAUCGGUCCCCUAACAGUAAGUAUUGAUCGGUCCCCUAACAGUAAGUAUUGAUCGGUCCCCUAACAGUAAGUAUUGAUCGGUCCCCUAACAGUAAGUAAGUAUUGAUCGGUCCCCUAACAGUAAGUAUUGAUCGGUCCCCUGACAGUAAGUAUUGAUCGGUCCCCUGACAGUAAGUAUUGAUUGGUUCCCUCUACAUAUGUUCAGUGGUGUCCUCUCCACUUGACAUCCAUGUCACCAGUCAGAUCUGAACCCUGGUCUCCUGCAUAUAAAACCAACACUUUAACCAAUAGGCCAAGAGGACAUUCUGUCUCAAGCGGAGGGUGACACGUAUUUUAUGCCUCAGGUAGUACCUCACCAGUAGAGCUUGAGUCCGACUCACCUCCACUACACACAGGGAUGAUCACCAAGGAAUAUGCAUGUCUUUUAAAGCUUGUUGUCUAACGGUCUGUUUCAGUAUCUGGUCUGGGGAUCAUUCAGCUGGGAAAGACUGGAGCAGGGAUGAGUGCAACCGGAAACACCAAACAGGUGUUUAUAGAAGAGUUCUCUUCUGAGUCUGUGACGACACAAUGUGAAGAUAUCCAGAGGAUGAAGAGGACAGCUUCAGACACUACUGAAACAGGAGGAGGAGGAGGAGCAGCAGCAGGAGUAGGUGCAGCAGCAGAC